rnacentral:rRNA from 1 species
UACGAGGGGUGCAACUGUUGUUCGGAAUCACUGGGCGUAAAGGGAGCGUAGGCGGGUUCUUAAGUAAGGUGUUUAAUCCCGGGGCCCAACCCCGGACCGGCACUUUAAACUGGGAAUCUUGAAUAGUGGAGAGGUCGGUGGAAUUGGGGGUGUAGCGGUGGAAUGCGUAGAGAUCCCCAAGAACACCAGUUGCGAAGGCGGCCGACUGGACACAUAUUGACGCUGAGGCUCGAAAGCAUGGGGAGCAAACAGG